AGAGUUUGAUCCUGGCUCAGGACGAACGCUGACGGUGUGCUUUAGGCAUGCAAGUCGAACGAGAAAGCCCUUCGGGGUGAGUAGAGUGGCGAACGGGUGAGUAACACGUGGGCAACCUGCCCCUCGCAGGGGGGAUAACCGGAGGAAACUCCGGCUAAUACCCCGUAAGCUUUCAGGGUCGCAUGGCUCUGUAAGGAAAGGUAGCUUCGGCCAUCCGGCGAGGGAUGGGCCCGCGGUGCAUUAGCUAGUUGGUGGGGUAAUGGCCCACCAAGGCGACGAUGCGUAGCUGGUCUGAGAGGAUGAUCAGCCACACUGGGACUGAGACACGGCCCAGACUCCUACGGGAGGCAGCAGCCAGGAAUCUUGGGCAAUGGGCGAAAGCCUGACCCAGCAACACCGUGUGGGCGAUGAAGGCCUUCGGGUCGUAAAGCCCUGUUGAUAGGGACGAAGGGCGAAGGGUUAAUAGCCCCUAGCCUGACGGUACCUUUCGAGGAAGCCCCGGCUAACUACGUGCCAGCAGCCGCGGUAAUACGUAGGGGGCGAGCGUUGUCCGGAAUUAUUGGGCGUAAAGAGCGUGUAGGCGGUUCGGUAAGUCUGCCGUGAAAACCUGAGGCUCAACCUCGGGCGUGCGGUGGAUACUGCCGGGCUAGAGGACGGUAGAGGCGAGUGGAAUUCCCGGUGUAGCGGUGAAAUGCGCAGAUAUCGGGAGGAACACCAGUAGCGAAGGCGGCUCGCUGGGCCGUUCCUGACGCUGAGACGCGAAAGCUAGGGGAGCGAACAGGAUUAGAUACCCCAGUAGUCC
rnacentral:rRNA from 1 species